rnacentral:misc_RNA from 1 species
AACCAUAGAAACCUGCGGAGUACCUGCGAGGGAUCAUUAUAGUAUAUGGAAUCUCCAUUCUAUAAACCCACUCUGCGUAUCUUGUAACUGUUGCUUCCAUGGGACUUGGUUCCGCCACACCGGCUUCACGGCUGGUGAGCGCCCAUGGAAGGAGAAACAAAACUCUUCUUUGAAAUGUAGUCAGUCUGAACAAGUUUUUAUAAACGUUAAAACUUUCAACAAUGGAUCUCAGAUCGGAAG